rnacentral:piRNA from 1 species
UGAUAGUCUGAGUAAUAAAAGCACUGA